AAUAGGUUAAGAAGUUCAUCUUAAAACAGAGAUGAUUAGAGGGCCUACAGGUGACCCCUAUCUAGUAAAGGAGAAAGUCCGUUCUAAGAAUGGGGAUGAUUUGACUUAACAGGACAUCAAAUUUAAAAAUGCCCAAAAAAUAAAAUGCUGGGUGACAAAAAUGUCUUUGAAAAAUUAAUUGAAUAUUGAUUGGGAAUAAUUAAAUUUUUUAUUUUAUUUUUUUUUUAUUUUGGAAUAUAUAUGAAGUAUUGUAUUGUAUUGAAGUGAAUUAAAUGUUUUAUUGAAUAAAAAUCUUUAGUGAAGAAUAAGUUGGUUUUGUGUAGCAUCAAAUGGGCGGUAUCCAGAGGCGUAGCUGUUGGGUCUUUGAGAGAAUGUAACUCCGCCCAGUAUUCCAACACUCAGGCUUUAUGGAAUUGGCGCGAGCGCACGAGAAUACAAACCACACAUAUAGUUAAUAAAAUACACGCACAUCCACGCACAGUCGUAUCAACGUCGUCGGAUACACGCAAAUAAAUAACGAGUCGAUCAAAAGAAAAUUUAUUUCCAUCAACUUCAACAUUUAUUACCAUAAUUCAAAAUUAUUAAUAAAUUUAAUUGUCUAUUAAAAUCUAUAUAUAUUGCACCAAUUAAAUAUGUGUAUAAAAAUUUUUUGCACGGGCUUUGAAACAGUAGCAAAGUUGCUGAUUCACGUUAAUCAAAGCUCGUACUCUUUGAAUUAAGUAUAUCUUACAUACAUUUUAUAUAUGUAUAUAUAUACAUAUAUGUAUGUAGUGGAAUGAGAGACGAGUAUACCACCAGAGUCGAGGAGAACUGUGAGGAUUUUUCGGUCGCAACGUCUUACAAGACACGUACUACAUCCUCGGACGUAUAUAUAUAUAUAUAUAUGUAUAUAUAUGCGGAAUAGAGAGUAAAAGAGAAAGAAAGAGAGAUAUGGGUUGUAUGGUGUGAUACAGAAUCAGGAUCCUGGCGCGCGCGCGUCAACAGAGUGAGAGAGGAGGGCAAGGUCGGUGAGGAUCAAAGAAGCGAAUCGGACGGGUGAGUGUUAGCGGCGUCCCAUUAGCUCCCACUGACUACGAUCACCACAUGCACACACAUACUUUUUAAAUUAUAUCCUCUUUACUUACUCUCUAUAGCAUACAAGCCACGAUAGGUUGUGUUGUACCUUAACUUGUACACCCGGAUGAGUAGAUGAGAGGAAAAAGACACGGAGGUGUGAGAGGAUUAUAGAGGAAAGACCAUGUGAGGAUCGCGAGGAGCUGAGACCGGGUUAAGGGAAUUUAGUAGAGGAAGAAAAAGACCAUGUUUAAGUCUUGCAACACAUUAAAUAAAUAAACGUCGAUAAAAAAAAUCUACUUGUCAUUAAAAUCGAUAGGAAAUUUUUUUUUUUAUUUUCAGAAGAUUUGAAAUUUUUAUUGAUAAUUAGAGCUAUAGGUAAAGACUUGUAGUAGUUAUAUAUUUAAUUGUAAACAAUAAAUAUCUGUAAAUGACAUAUUUUGUCUGGUGAUAUAUAUAUAUAUAUUGGAGUAAGCUUAUGACAAUAGAUGUCAAUGUUUUGCUGAAAGAACAAUGAAAAUAAUAAGUUUUAAAUUGAUAAGGAAUAGAGUAGUGUCAACUGCAGUAAGUCAUUAUUCCUAAUUGAAAUAAUUGAUUGUUAAGCCCUUCAUUGUAUGUAUAUAUGUAUUAUUAUUAUUUAUAGAUUUUCCUAUAUAUGGAUAAUAUAAAAACGGAUGUCCAUAUUAUUGUUUAGUCGUGAGUAUAUUCGAAUCUUGUUCGGCAAGUUCGUAGAUCCAAAAGGAUAAUAAAGGAAAGCACGUUGCCGAUAAGAAAAAAAAGAGAUGGACAUAUAUGUAUAUAUGUAUGUAUGUAUAUAUAUUCGUAUAAGGCACAAUGACGGGUAUGGUUACAGUGAACGGCGCCGGGCCGCGUGUCAGGGUUGUCUGGUUGGCAGUUCAGAGGCACCGACCUGGUGUCCCGCGCGUUCCUUUGGUAUUUCAUUAACACCUCAGCUAAUUAUUUUCAUCCUUUUUCCUCAGGCACAUCCGGACCGUUAAUUUUGUCUCCAGAGAAUAAUCGCCGCUGGAUACUCGUACUCCCAUAUAACCCAGCCCAUUUUCAACAUAAUCUUAAAAUUUUUUAUUGUUAUCUUUUUAUUUUUAAAAUUUUAUUCAGGUGGUUUUGGAGUCGCUUUAUUAGCUCAACGAUAUUGCGCCCUCCCACUGAGAUCAAGAUGAGGCCGAUGGUAUCAACGACACGAUCGGCGAGAACCUGUGGACUACUGUUGGUUCUUUAGAUUCACAGUUUUGCUGAAUGAAAUGAAUAAUUUGUGGGCACAAAUUAACGCACAUUAUAUGUAUAUAAAUAUGUAAAUAUAUGAGAGGAGCUGAGCGAGCUGAUGAAGAAAAAAAUGAAACAAAAAAUCAAGACCUGGAUCUAAGUUUAGGACAUACAAGAGUCUCGAUGAACCCGAGAGUAGAGAGUGAGCGAGAGAGAGAGAGUGAGUUUGUGCCCUGGUCAUCCCGCAUCUCCACUACCCGUCCGUUAUCCCUGGUCGAAAUUUAUGUAGGUGUUGGCCGUGGCUUUUAUCAGCGACCGGCAUUCCUCUGGGUCCAAGCCGGCGCCCUGGCGUCGCCAAAGAUCAGGUUCUAAUUCGUGUGUGACUCAGAUCAACAGUUUUCAAGUUAACGUUGGACCGGCGACCCUCUCUUAUAAUAUAUAUACUAUACUCUUUUAUAUAUAUAUUCUUAGUCUCUUGUCUUACUUAGUCGUCUCAAUCUCAAUCCGGCGGCUCAAUCUCAACGCUUCCGAUAUUUACAGCCGUCGGAGUAGUCUGUUUAUAAAAUAUUAACUUAAAUCCUGCCUUCUUUGCGCUUGGCGCCACAGUAAUAACAUUUUUGACAAAUAACUUAUUACCUCCCUUUAUAAUUAUCUUGACAACCUGCACGCCUUUUUAUUCAAAUGUAAAUAGACUGUCAGCAAGUGAUAAUUUAUUAUUGUGCCCUUUAAAUUAUUAUUUAUUACAAAAAUUAACUCUCCGCCCCCUAAUUAUCUUUUAAUAUUUUCAGGUAUCAGGACAAAAGUCUCCUGCAGAUUAGUAUUUUAUUCAAGAGCUUAAUGGCAAGAGGAAAAUAAAAAUGCUCCGAAACCACAACAAAUUCAGAUAGAGAAAACUGGACUCAAAAUUAUAAUAAAUUAAUAUUUUUUAAAAAUCCUUUUGGACAAUAAAGUAAGACCUUUUUUCAAAUGAUUCCUCUCUCUUUAUAUUCUGUAUUGAUGUACGACAUGCCAGGACGGAAAUAGUAUGUAUGUAUAUAUAUAAAUGUCUCAUUUUUACGAGCGUAUAUACCUGAGUGAAAUACAGACUACAAUAGUAAGCUGUUAAGGAACGGAGUGUUUGGUCAUUUAAAAGGUCUGGACAGUAAAAAAAAAUCCACAAGGUGUUUAACCGGCUGCACUGUUACCCUCCGUAGAAAAUUUGAAAACCCCCAAGGCGCGCUUGAUUUUAAUGACCGUCCAAUAAACUGUCCACCGAAACUUUGUACUUACUAAAAUAGUACACAAAAUACUGUAGAAAAAAAAGGAAAAAAUAACAUCUAUGAGGAAAUAAGUUACUGGCGCCAGGAUUAUUUACCGGAUGAGUUUCAAAGUUACAACCAUUGGUCUCACUAUCUCUACAAUCAGUGUCUUAUGGGCAUAAAAUAAAGAAGAAAAAGGAAAAUCAGGGACUUUGUUAAGACUUGACAAGAUUUACUAAGACUACAAGUCUUAGAUGAGUUACUGAUUGCCGUAAAAAUAAAUAAAUCCGUCAAUAAUGUCUGAGGAACCAUGAAGUUGAGACUGGCAAAUUAUUCAGCAUCUUUCCUUCAUAUAGUUCUUGGUAGAUUACAGCCACGUUCAAUAAACACAUGAAUAUGCGAGUGUGUCAUUAUCUCAUAUCAUAAAUUUAUGGAGUAUGUUCUCUAAAUACUCCACGUGUGUAUAAAAAUUAUUAUCCCCAUCAACAUUCUCGAAUAUUUAUAAAAUAUAAAAAAAAAAGGUAAGACAUUUAUUUUUCUUUAUUGAAAUAAAUUGGCUACCGAAAAUCUAAUCAUUCUAAUGUUUUUAGGAGAAAAGACUCUGGUGUUUUCUGUGUCCUGACAGUCAACAAGACAAACUUUUUCACCAUGACCAUCAGUACUCAGUGUGGGAAGUAGUAAAGUAAGCUAGCAUCUGAGGAAGAGAUUAGAAUUAGGGGAGAAGUAUAGGAAACGACAGUUGAGUAGCUGAGAAGGCGAACUAACUGAUGCGGAUCGAACCGGAAAGGAAAGGAAUCCGUAGGCCUAAUUCAAUUGCAAACCGCCGCUCCGCAAACACUCAUGAUAAUUCAAUCGAGUUGUGCAACCCGUAGUUACUCUGAAACUAUAAAGACUCUGCCCGCACGUACAACCCUCGUCUCCGCCUUAAUAUCAACCCCCUGUUCAUACCGACAGUCUCUUUACCUUUGCUUCUGUCUCUUUUUAAUUCUAUUUACAAUAUAUAUUAUAUAAAAUAAUAUAAUGUAUUACAUAAAAUAUAGACAAUGUAAAUGCAUGUCUAUAUAAAACUUGUGUGUUAUUUAACUUAGUAACCGGGGUAUUAAAAAAAUGGUUUGCUGGUAACUUUCCUAUAAGGAACAUCUGCAGCACAGUCGCAUGAUGAGACACAUAAUCAUCCCCUUGUUCCAAUCCAAAGGACUCAGCUUAUUUAUCACAACUACAGUAAUAAAAAUAAAUCACCUUGAUGUAUUAUUAGAUACUUAGCUCCGAAAAUUUAUCAUUUAAUUGACAAAAAAAAAUAAUUCGAAUAAGUAUUCAUUCACAUGCCCGCAAUUAUAUAUUCAAAUAAAAUACAAUUGAAUAUUGAGCAGUUGCAAGAUUAAAUGAAAUAUUUAUAAUCAAUAUCAACGUCAUAAUUUCAUAUAUUAAUUGAUAACUAACACGGGGAUUAAUGAAACGUCAAUUAUGAGUUUUAAAUUUAUCGGUAAUUUGUAACGAUUCGAUUAAUUAAAGAUAUCGGAAAUAGUUUUCAUUUUGUAUAUGUUUCAAUUAUUGAGCUGUCGGUAAGUUGUGUUAUUUAUGACUGAGUUUUAUUUAUUUAUUUAUUUGUUUAUUUUAGGGAUUAAUUAUUUUU